CGAUCUUCUUUUAUACUCAGGUUUUAUGAAACAAAACCUAGAAGCUGACGUGGGCCACAGUACAACAAAUACUCUGGAGGCCUGUUCCACUUCUCUGUGGGCUUCAGACACUUCAGCCCAAGUUCAAGAUGGAGACAACAAACCCGACAAACUCCACCUUUGUCUCUAUCGGAAUCAUCGAGAAAGCUCAAACAGUCUUCCUCCACACCGACCCUUGUUUCUCUGUCUCCUCGAACAUUUUCCGGUGAAUCUCUACCAAUUCUCCUGUGCAACUUCUUUAGGCUCUUACACAGCCAUCUCUUCAGCUUACCAUCUCACAUGCACCUGGAGAUGAUGUGUUAUAUCCGCCGAAAUGAAAACUUCAGCUUGCGACUUUUACUAACCACUUAAUUCAGUGACAAGUCCGAUCUACUCCACCGCAGACCCUUUCACCAGUACCUGAUUUCGCUUCUAUCAGAAGACCAUUAAGAGCUCAGCAACAUCGAGAUUCGUCGACUAAUCUCUCGUUUGUACGCUCUCAAGUUUAAGACUUUUCAAGCUCCGAUCUUCAUUCUUCAGCUUACCAACCAAUCUCUGGUAAAAUACUGAUAAUUUUUUUUUUAAAAAAAUUACUUUUCUCCUUCUGAAACAAUAACUUGUACACGCUCUCAAUAUCUUUGUUCAAUCUGCAGUUUGUCGAAGACAUCAAGAUCCAAACUUCAAGUUAUCUUUCUGUGAGGUAACCUUAUCGUAGCAGUAGUGUGUCAACCCUAGUGAAAACCCGUAAGGAUUGACACUGCUAAAACCAAUAAGUUACCUGCGUUAAGAAUACCAUUAAUCUCUAAGAAAACCAUAUAAUAUCCUUAACAGAAAGAAAAAAAAAACCCUUUAUCCUGCUGAUACCGUAGAUAAAUCUCCUUUCAAACUUUACCAUUUGAUAGUUCUGUGUGUUGAUUUCCUGUUACCGAUACUAAUCAACCUCAGUAUCUGUUUGUAUCCCUUUUGCGAGGUCCUUCAAUCAACCAAACCAGGAACCUCGGGAUGCUUCAUGUCUACUACCGGAUUACCUUGAGAAGUCCGAGACACUUCUCGAAACUCUUCCCAGGUAAACAUUUUGUCAACAUAUCUGCCGCAUUCUCAGUAGUGUGAACCUUUUGUACCUUGACUGAACCUUGCUCAACAAUGUCGCGUAUGAAAUGAUAUUUCCUUGCAAUGUGUUUAGUUCUGUCAUGAUGCACACUAUUCUUUGCUAGGCAGAUUGCACUUUGUGAGUCACAGUUUAGUUUGAAUGAGUCUGUCUUGAAUCCUAGUUCUUCACACAUAGAUAAUAGCCAGAUACCUUCUUUAGUAGCUUCUGCUAGAGCCAUGUAUUCUGCUUCUGUGGUAGAUAGGGCAACUACUUGCUGUAAACAUGAUCUCCAACUGACCGUAUUGCCACCAACUCUGAACACAUAUGCUGAGACUGAUCUUCUUUUGUCCAAAUCCGCAGAAUAGUCUGAAUCUGAGAAUCCCUCUAUAUCAAACUCCUCUGUUUUCGUAAACGUUAGACACACAUUUGAAGCACCGUUUAAAUAUCUUAGGAUCCAUUUCACAGCUUCCCAGUGACUCCUACCGGGAUUUGCCAUGAAUCGACUUACCACUCCAAUGGCAUAUCCCAAAUCUGGUCUUGAGCCGACCAUUGCAUACAUUAAGCUUCCUACUGCGCUUGCAUAGGGAACUGUAUCCAUUGCAUCUCUCUCUGCUUCUAUUUCUUCAGGUCUUAGGCUUCUUAGUUUAAACAGAGAAUUGCUAGGUGUCACAACUGCUUUACUCUCCUCCAUGUUGAAUGUUCUUAGAACUUGCUUGAUAUAUCUUUCCUGUGAAAGCUUUAGCACUCCAUUCUUUCGAUUUCUUUUGAUGUCCAUUCCAAGAAUUCUGGAUGCUGGUCCAAGAUCUUUCAUCUCAAACAUCUUGUUUAAAUUCUUCUUAAGACAGUUUAUUUUACCAAUGUCUCUAGCUGCCACGAGCAUAUCAUCAACAUAGAGUAGUAGAUAGAUCAUAUCCUCCACUGUCGUGCCUUUUGUGUAUACGCACGGAUCCUUAGAACAGCGUGUGAAUCCCUGAGACAUCAUGAACUCAUUAAAUUUUUGGUUCCAUUGUCUAGGGGACUGUUUAAGUCCAUAUAGGGAUUUCUUUAGAAGGCACACCAUUUCUUCUUUUCCCUUUUCUAUAAACUCUUCAGGUUGCUCCAUGUAGAUUUUCUCAUCAAGAACCCCAUGUAGAAAAGCUGUUUUCACAUCAAGCUGUUCCAGUUCCAAAUCAUAGUUAACCACUAUAGACAGCAUGAUUCUUAUCGACACAUGUUUAACCACAGGUGCAAAUAUUUCAUUAUAGUCAAUUCCUUCAACUUGAGCGUAUCCUUUUCCUACUAGACGUGCUUUGAAUCUAGGAUCCUCGAUCCCUGGAAUCCCUUCUUUGUACUUAUAAAUCCACUUACAACCAAUCACCCUUUGUUUCUCUGGUCUUGGAACUAGAGUAAAUGUAUCAUUCUUGUCAAGAGAUGAUUUCUCUUCUGUCAUGCCUUCCACUUUUUCCAGUGUUUGCUACGCUUAGCCUCAGUAACUGUUCUUGGCUCAUCCAGCUCGAUGAUCGUAGCACAGGCCAGUGCAUAUGCGAUGACAGAAUCCCCAUCCUCGUACCUUGAUGGUGGUCUGAUCACUCUCCGUUCUCUAUCUCUUGCUAAUACAUAGUCAUCUAAGUCUAGGUGUUCAGUCUGUUCCAAAUCUUCUCCCUCAGAGUCUUCAUCGGUUUCACUUGAAGACUUUGAACUUUCUUGUUCUGAAUCUACUCCACCUUGACCAAUAGACUCUGCAUUUUCUGAAUCAGCUUCACCUUGACUGGUAAAACCUUGAGUUGAUGGUCCUUGUAUUAAUUCGGUUCUGAAAGUCACUUUCUUAGGUUUCUUAGGUUUCUCAAUCUUCUUCUCUGAAUCAUGAUACAGCUUAUCCUCAUCAAAUACAACGUUUCUGCUGUUAGAGCAUUUACCAUCUUCUGGUAUCCACACUCUGUAACCUUUGACUCCUUGAGGAUAUCCCACGAAAACUCCUUUAACAGCCCUAGGACUCAUCUUGUCCUGUGUUAUGUGAACAUACGCCACACAUCCAAACCUUCUUAAGUGACUGUAAUCAACUCUCGACUCUGUCCAUAACUCUUCUGGGAUUUUAAACUUCAAUGCUGCAUUUGGUGACCUGUUUAUUAGAUAUACUGCAGUACAAGCAGCUUCCGCCCAAAACGAUUUUUCCAAUCCUGACUCUGCUAACAUGCAUCGAAUCUUCUCAGCUAUAGUUCGAUUCAUUCUUUCUGCCACCCCAUUCUGUUGUGGGGUGUAAGUGCACGUUUUGUGCCUUUUAACUCCAGAAUCACUGCACAACUUAUCCAUUCUGACAUUACAGAACUCUAGACCAUUGUCUGUUCGUAGAUAUUUCAACCUUUUCUUUGUAGUGUUUUCAACAAGUACCUUCCAUUCUGAAAAAUUCUCAUACACUUCAUCUUUGCUUCUUAGAAACCUGAUCCAUACCUUUCUAGAAUAGUCAUCUAUGAAAGUUAGGAAAUAUCUGCAGCCUGAUAAGCUUGGUUCAUUUGAGACUGAUCCCCAAAGAUCACUGUGUACAUAAUCAAGCUUCUCCUUUGAUGUGUGUCUGCCCUCCGGGAAACUUUGCUUAUGAGCUUUGCCAAAGACACAUUUUUCACAGAAAUCCAAAGUGUGAACUUCUUUUGGAUUCAAAUAACCUCCCUUAACCAAGAGAUUCAUGUUCUUCAAACUCAUAUGCCCUAGUCUGGAAUGCCAUCUAUUCGUUAGGUUUGUCUCAGCUCUAGCCACUGAUACUUCUCCUUUUAUGACAGAUCCCUGUAGAUAGUAUAAGCCAUCUUGAUAUUUUCCAGACAGUACUUUCUUACCUUCUCGAUAGAAGGUGACUUUAAAAUUUUCCCCUUCAUACUUGCAUCCAUUUUUCUCCAAUUGUCCGUAGGAGAUAAGAUUUCUGCCCAUUGUUGGCAUGUAUCUCACAUCACUCAGAAUGACUUGAGCUCCUUCAGAAUUUAUAAUUUUUAUUUUUCCAAUACCUUUGACUUCACACUGGGUGUUGUUUCCCAGUAAGACUUUUCCACCGUCUACUUCCUUGAAGUCAAAUAGUACCUCCCUCUCCGGUGUGAUAUGGAAAGUGCAGCCAGAAUCCAUUACCCAUUCCUUCAUAGGAUCGUGAGCGCUUGCGGUUAGGAUCAUGGGUUGCUCUUUGUCAUGAGCAACAUUAACAGAUUCAUUCGAUUUCCAGUUCUUCUUGUCUGGACAAUCUUUCUUGAAAUGACCCUCUUUGCCGCAUGUCCAGCAUUCUCUGGGUUUUCCUGAACCUCUUGGUCUUGACUUUGAUCUGUUUCUGCUUUUAGAUCUACCUUUCCAUUUACUUUGCGGUUUAGACUCUGAUCUUCCUCUUUCUGCUAUUAGACCUUCUGCAUUUGAUUUUGUUUUUCCAAAAAAUCCAGCUUCUUUUAGCUCAACUUCUUUUGCAUAUGCAGAUGAGGUAACUUCUUGCAGUGUCAGAGUUUCUUUGCCGUUCCCGUACUUGAGAGUAUGUACUAAAGAAUCAAACUGCUUGGGCAAGCUUGACAGAACCUGUAUUGCUUGAUCUUCAUCGCUGAUUGUGAUGUUCAAGCUUUCCAGAUCAUCUACCAACCUCAAGAAACCAUCGAGGUUUUCUUCUAUACUUCGAUGCUCUUCCAUCUUGAAACUAGCGAACCGUUGUUUUAAGUAGAUUCUGUUAGGUAAUGUCUUAGUUUGGUAGUCCUUUUCUAGUGCUUUCCAUACCCCUAGUGCAGUAGUCUGUUUCAUAACCUUUCGUAGCACCAGAUUUCCAAGACUAGCACAAAUCAUGUUUUUAGCACGCUUGUCCAUCUCUUUCCGAGUAAGAACCCCUGUACCGGGUUUAGUCUCCUUAUCACCAUCCUUGUCUUUCUCUGAUGUAGAACUAGUGUCUUCUUCAUUAAGCACACUGUCAAGAUCAGCAUUCUCAAGUUGCAUCUGCAUCUUGAAUUUCCACAUUCCAAAAUCUCCUUUUCCAUCAAACUUUUCCACCUCAAUUUUGACUUUAGACUUCUUCAUGAUCUCACUAACAAUCGUGAAAUCAACACCAGCUAAAGUCUAGGUUUAAUAACCACCAGAACGCAGCUGAGACCGCUGAAACCGUUCUUUUAUAAACCUAACCUGAGAGCUCUGAUACCUCUUGUAAGGUUUAAACGUCGAUUUACUAUGUUAAACCUUCGUUCCUUUAGCUAGAAUUCGUUUAGCUAUGUUACUUGAUCGAUUAACCUCAAUACUAACUUGUGUUCUGUUUGUUUGUAUGUAGGAGAUAAGACACAGCAAGUUUGUUUACCCAGUUCCCGUGAAGGUACGUCUGGGGGAAGAACAGAGUCUUCCAAUUCACUAACUCAAAGAGAAAGAAUUAAUAAAAGGGUUGUGACCUUAAACUUAUAAACGCCAAAGCUUAAUCAAGAGCUAAACACCUAGCUCUCUUCUUCUGAUUGAACUUAGC
rnacentral:lncRNA from 1 species